UACGUAGGUGGCGAGCGUUGUCCGGAUUUGCUGGGCGUAAAGAGCGCGCAGGCGGCUACGCACGUCCGUUGUGAAAUCGCUCGGCUCAACUGGGCGGGGUCGGCGGAUACGGCGUAGCUGGAGCAAGCUAGGGGGCAAUGGAAUUCCCGGUGUAGUGGUGGAAUGCGUAGAUAUCGGGAGGAACACCAGUGGCGAAGGCGGCUACCUGGACCGGUUCUGACGCUGAGGCGCGAAAGCGUGGGUAGCAAACAGG
rnacentral:rRNA from 1 species